ensembl:misc_RNA 7SK 7SK RNA
GGAUGUAAGGGCGAUCUGGCUGCGACUUCUGUCACCCCAUGGAUCUCCACUAUUGAUUUGGCUGAUCUGACCGGCUAGGCGGGUGUCCCCUUCCUCCCUCCCUGCACCAUGUGAGUCCCUCCGGGAAGCUGCGCACUCCCACUCCCCAGAAUAGAGACAGAGCAGGAGCAGUCUUCAGCCUCUCAGGGCAGUCUUCAGUCUUCGGUAGAAGAAUAGCUGCGCUCCUCUGCUAGGACCUCCAAAUAAACUCUCAAGAAACAUACCACAGUACUGAAGCUUACCCCAAGCUGUGGGGACCAGCUUUG